CUUUACAACACUAAGUGUUGGGACGAACCAUAAAAUGGCGUUUCUCGUUGAGCAAGAACUGAUUUCUGCGCGAUAUUAAAAUUAUAUAGUUAUCAACAAUUAAAGCGUGGACCGUGCACCUUAAUUCUCGCCAAAUAAUGUAGUUUUAGUAACGAAUUACAAAAAAAAAAUUGCAAAAUCCAACGGUGCAUGCAGCUAAAGUGCUUCAUCCGCAUUCAGUCGUCGUUGUUCAUAUAUCAUUUGCUCUCUCGCCGUCUCUCUUUCUCUUAAAUUGUCUGCACGCUGCCUGCAACGACUGUGCACCGUGUCUGUGUGUGUGUGUGUGUCAGUGUGUUUGUGUGUAACAUGUGCGUGUGAAAUGGUUUUAAGGCAGCGGAGCAGCAUCAACAAACCAACAACAACAACAACAACAGAGGCAAAACAGUUUAGGUUUGCAUUCGCAGCGCCAACAAACAACAACACAUGACUUAUACAUAUUUUUCUGUGCAAACAAUGACACACAACUGCAACUGCAACUGCAACAA